rnacentral:ncRNA from 1 species
UUGUUAGUUUUUAAGGGCAUUCGGUGGAUGCCUUGGUACCAGAAGCCGAUGAAGGACGUGUUGGCCUGCGAUAAGCCUCGGGGAGUUGGCGAAUGAGCGUUGAUCCGGGGGUGUCCGAAUGGGGAAACCUAGCCAGGGGUUAAGCCUGGUUACCUGCAUCUGAAUUGUAUAGGGUGUAGGAGGGAACGCGGGGAAGUGAAACAUCUCAGUACCCGUAGGAAAAGAUAUUCUGUGAGUAGUGGCGAGCGAAAGCGGAUGAUGGCCAAACCAUGGGCGUGUGAUACUCGGCAGGGGUUGCGUUUGUGGUGUUGUGGGAGCAGGAUUGAUUGGGUCUGCCGGCCUUUUCGCAUAGUUAUAAAGUGAUAGUUUAGGUGAAUAGCAUUGAAUGGCUGACCGUAGUGCGUGAUAGUCGUGUAAUCGUAUUUCUAUUGCCUAUGUUUUUUGUUUCCCAAGUAGCACGGGGCUCGUGAAAUCUCGUGUGAAUCUGCCCAGACCACUGGGUAAGCCUGAAUACUUUCUGGUGACCGAUAG